UUCCGCAGGGUCUGCGGGGGCGCGGGCGUCGGGGACGCGCUUCUGCGGCUGCGCGCACGGCCGCCCCUACUGCGAGUGGAAAGCGAAGGCGUACAGGGGAGGAACGCGCGGAGCAUGAAGAGGCAGGGGUCCUCCUUGGAGCGGAAAGCGGCGCGGACACAGGCGGGGACGGCCGGAGCCACAGAUGGAUUCCUCAUGGAAGUCUGUGUGGAUUCAGUGGAGUCAGCUGUGAAUGCAGAAAGAGGAGGUGCUGGUCGGAUUGAAUUAUGUUCUGGUUUAUUAGAGGGAGGAACCACACCUAGCAUGGGCGUUCUUCAAGUAGUGAAACAGAGCAUCCAGAUCCCAGUCUUCGUGAUGAUUCGGCCGCGUGGAGGUGAUUUUUUGUAUUCAGAUCGUGAAAUUGAGGUGAUGAAGGCUGACAUUCAGCUUGCCAAGCUUUAUGGUGCAGAUGGUUUGGUAUUUGGGGCAUUGACUGAAGAUGGACAUAUUGACAAAGAGCUGUGCAUGUCUCUUGUGGCUCUUUGCCGUCCUUUGCCAGUUACUUUCCAUCGAGCUUUUGACAUGGUUCAUGAUCCAAUGGCAGCUCUAGAGACCCUCUUAACCUUGGGAUUUGAACGAGUAUUGACCAGUGGAUGUGACAGUUCAGCAUUAGAAGGACUACCUCUAAUAAAGCGACUCAUAGAUCAGGCAAAAGGCAGGAUUGUGGUAAUGCCAGGAGGUGGCAUAACAGACAGAAAUCUACAAAGGAUCCUUGAGGGUUCGGGAGCUACAGAAUUUCAUUGUUCUGCUCGGUCUUCUAGAGACUCGGGAAUGAAGUUUCGAAAUUCCUCUGUUGCCAUGGGAGCCUCACUUUCUAACUCAGAAUAUUCUCUAAAGGUAACAGAUGUGGCCAAAGUAAGGACUUUGAAUGCUAUUGCAAAGAAUAUUCUGGUGUAACCAGACCUCUCCAAGAGACAUGGAUAUCACAGCGUGAAGGUAGAAGUACAUUCUACAAUUUUGUAUCCUACAGCUUUCAGUCUUCUUGGUUGGGACACAAUCUUCAGUAUUCAUAAGGCAAUGGAGUAUGUUUUCAAGAAGAAAAAGAAAUUGAAACAUAUUGUCACUUCUUUUGCUUAAUCUUGCCAGCCAUUAAUGUUAUCAUGGUUAAAUCGGAUCGGUACUUCCACAGAGAGACUUAGGUAUCAGUGGAACUAAUGAAUGAACUGGGAAAAUUCAACUGUAAGGUGUGCAUUCAGAGUGUCGCUUCACGGACCAUGGAUGAUAAGUAAUGACAGCUGAGCAUGGUGGCCACAUGCCUAUAAUUCUAGCACUUAGGAGGUUGGGGCAGGAAGAUCUCCAUGAGUUUAAGAUCGCCUGAACUACACAGCGAGACCCUGUCUAAAACGAACAAGAUAACGAGUAAGUAGUGACAAUCUCCCUAGAGAUUGGAUUUAAAUUUCCAAUUUUAAAUCCUUUUCAGUUUUAAUAUUGUUUCAACCAUUCUGUACUUUUCCACAAAGAAAAUAGUAGUAGCAGUCUUGUUUCAUCUUUAAAUUUUCUGUAUCCUUUAUGCGCUACCUCAAGGAAAGGCAGAUAGUAAUUGCUGUGUAAUUUACUUUGAUUUCUUCUACUUGAAUGCCAUGCAGAGUUACACAUCCUAACAAAACUCCUACUAAAUAAUAGCUUAUAAUAGCUAUAUCUUUGGGAUGUUUAUAUUAAUUUUAUACUUUUAUGUAGUAUCUUAAAUUUUAUCCUCAAAGUAACAUCAUGUGACAUGAUUCUGGUGCAGAUUUACUCUUGACCUUUGGUGAUUUCCCAUUCCUACACAUUUGAUUUCAUCAGGCACUUUUUUGGGGGUGGGAUUGAGACAGGGUUUCAUUUUGUAGUGACAGGCUCUCACGCUGUAGUCCAGGCUGGCCUUGAUCUCAGUGAUCCUCCUGCCUCAGCCUCCUGAGGGCUGGGGUUACACGUAUGUGUCACCAUGUCCAGCCUCAGGCACUUGUUUUUUCACUUAGCUGACUCUCACAAUGUAGACAUCUCUUUAGAAAUGAUCUUAGACUGAUCUUUCUUUUUUUAUUUGUUUAUUGUUUUUGAAAUUAGGU